UACGUAGGUGGCAAGCGUUGUCCGGAUUUAUUGGGCGUAAAGCGCGCGCAGGCGGUCCUUUAAGUCUGAUGUGAAAGCCCACGGCUCAACCGUGGAGGGUCAUUGGAAACUGGGGGACUUGAGUACAGAAGAGGAAAGCGGAAUUCCACGUGUAGCGGUGAAAUGCGUAGAGAUGUGGAGGAACACCAGUGGCGAAGGCGGCUUUCUGGUCUGUAACUGACGCUGAGGCGCGAAAGCGUGGGGAGCAAACAGG
rnacentral:rRNA from 1 species